GACAUCACUAUGGAGGGUUGUAGUUGGUCUUCCAACUGGUCUAUCAGAUUUGCUUCAUGGGAAACAUUAAUAUGUUAUGUCUUCCCAGGCAGGAGUCAUAAACUAGUGUUGGUGGUAAAGGUUGGCGCCGCAGGUAAGGCGAGCUGACGCAAGUUCGGGCUUCAUUAAAUUUUGUUGGUUUUGGUUUGUUGGGCUUAAUAUCUUUCACCAAUAUUUGUGUCUACUCUUUUCUCGCGUGAACACCGCAGCGUCUCUUUCAUCGUCACUCUCUACUCCAAAAUGGCUGCGCACUAAGCCCUAUUUUUCUUCGGUGGCAACAUCACUGGCAGCGACACUUGUUGGUGUGGCUCCUCUUUUCGUAUGGUUCUUUUACAUCAAAAUGAACGAUGAUCUCCCAAAGCUUCAGCGGUUUUCUUUUUUCUCCGUGGUUUGCUCUGAGUGAAUAAGAACGACGACUACGAGCUUGUGUAGUUGUGUGACUCGUCUAAUUCAACGAAUGACGCCUAUAGAUGAACAUGACAGACAACUACAGUUGUGUUUUUCUGAUGUAUCGGGACAAUCGAUAAUUACCUAUAUGGCACCGGAAGUCAACAGUUUAACAGCGUUGAAGAAUUUGAUAUUGCAUUUUGUCAGACAGCAAGAGGUAAAUGUAUUAGAUCAUGGUGAGAAAUAUUUCUGUUGUUUUGAAUUAGGUAUCGUUUACGUGACGACGAAGACAUAUGGCGUAUAAGGUCGUGGCACAAUCGAUGGACAAAUGUUCAUCUGUUGGAAUGAUUUAUGUUCCUCGUUAAGUUGGGUGGCUGAAGAUCGUCUGCAGAUAUUGUCGAUGAUAGUCCGUUGAGUGGAGCUGUUCGGUGAACUAUCAGAAGGACGAUGGUGGAUCUAAAUAUGCCACCUGAAGGUAGUCAAGAAAGGUCUAAUGUUAAAGUUCGUAAUGUUGACUUAAUGAAUGACGGUGUUGAAAGUCAUAAGGGUUUUGCUAUUAGGGAUCUGAUGAUGGAUCAGUAUGAAGUUAACCCCGAUGACGGAGACAAUGCUGAUGAAGAACCACCCAAAAUUCCUGACGAUGGUGACGAGGAAGAAGAGAUGAACUACUAUGAUGACACACAAAUCGCUCUGACACAGCUUGCCUUUUCUCGACCAUAUGACCGGCCGGAUCAUUUCACGAGGUUGAAUCUCGAGGCAAUGAAUUUUGAUUGGUCGUUUACCCAGGGAGGCCCCGAAGAGGAUCCAAGCAACGAGUUCGAGGUUGGAAAACAAUUUAAGAACAAGAAAAAAAGUCAUGUUGGCAGUUAAGCAGUACAGUAUCAGGAGAGCUGCGAAGUACAAAAUAGUAGAGAGUGACCUGUUGAGGUAUAAUGCACAGUGUAUCCAGUUCGGGCCUAGUUGUAAUUGAAGCAAACUCAUAUCAUGUCGCCGAAAGCAAGAAAAAUGGGAGGUUAGGAGAUAUACUUGUCCUCAUACUUGCAUGCAAGCAUUGAUGGGGCAAGACCAUCGUAGGUUAGAUUCGAAGGUGAUUGCGCAACAUAUUUUCACGAUGUUCAAAGCCGAUCCAACAAUCAACAUCAAGGUUCUGCAAGGAGGUGUGGAGAAUCACUUUGGUUACAAGGCGUCCUACAGAAAGGUUUGGCUUGCAAAACAGAGAGUCAUUGCUAGAAUAUAUGGCGAUUGAGAGGAGUCAUACAACGAGCUUCCUCGUUGAUUAUUCGCUAUAUAGACGUACUUUCCUGGUAAGAUUUAUUUCAUUAUGGUUAUUCACUAUUAAACAAUUCAGACAUGUACAAUAAGCUAACUGAAAAUGUGU